UGGCAUAGAUAAUAGCAGCUGACUACUUGAGAAACCUCCUUUUACCAUGUAUCAAUGUAAAGAAGAAGCAAAAGCAAAAUAAGAUGAGGGGACAGAGGGGAGGCAGAGCAUUGAGAUCUAGACCUAAUUCAACUACUACAUGCAUAUUCAUUAUGCACAGUGGAGUAUCUGCAUAUGGCACCUGAAAAAUAUCACUGAAUUAAUAAUUUAAGUCAUGAUUACGCCUCUAAUUUCCUACCAUAUUCUACUAAAUAGACAUUGUAAUGAAAAGCAUAUUUUAUUUACAAUUAUAGUUUAUAAACCCAAAUGUAAACUGACAGUAAUGAGAAGAUGGUGUCACUAAAUCCAUUUUAAUGUAAAUUGCCACAUUUGAGAUACUCUGAAAGCAGUGAGGGCAGUUAAUGAACCUAGUCCUGCUAUCCUUGUUGGAAAUGCCUGGCUGAAACCCUGAUCUUCUGUUUCAGACUGGAUGAUGAUCACUUCCUCAUCAUUUAAGUGUUUAUUGUUUCUCCUCGUGAUACUCUCAUUAUAACUGUUUUUCUUCCUUACCCCCUCCCAGCUCUCAGCAAACCUGCUUUAAAUUAGAAAGGAACAACUCUUUGGCUAUAAACACAAAUCUGUCUCCCAAGCAAGAGCUCACUUGCUGCGUGUAUAGCAGGGAAAGGGAUGAUGUAACAAGGGUAAUUAUAACCUGAGCUAGCUGGUGUCAUUGAAAAGAAGGGCCUGUCAGCAUUUCACUGUGAAUAAUCACACCCAUGCCUCUGCUGACAUGAAAUGCCAAGUGUUAGUGCUUUGGUUCUCAGACAGCUUUAAGUCUCAGAAUGAAAGUUUUAAUUGAAGAAUGUGCUACAAAAUGCUCUACUUGCUGCAGCGAUGCUAUUAUAAGGCCAUGUGAGGCACUGGGAUUGUACUCAAUGAGUUUGGAGUCAAAUGAGGAGAGCAUCUUACCUGCUUUCAUGCCUCCCUAUAAAGAGUGUUUUUACUCACAUCAAGAACAGAUAAAGGUAAACAAAGGAAAGAACAAGCAUUCAAAGGACAGAGCAUAUGGGAGGAAUAUGUGAGUUCUUAGUCUUUUUUAUUUUAACCUCUCAAUGAUGGUGUGAAAUUCCAAAAUGUACAACAAUGUUAACAGUAUCAUCUCAGAGUGGUAGGAUUAUGUGAUUUUUGUUUUCUUCUUGCAAAUAUUUUUCCAAAUAAAUAUAUAUUACUUUCUGAUCAGAACAACUAUAGGUUAUUUAAAGAUCCAUUAGAAAAAUUUCAUUCUACUUUUAUAUGAAUUUUCCAUACCCUACUAUAAUAAUUAUAAAAACCUAUCAAGUGUUUAACAAUUAUGCCUAUCAUGUUUCUGAUCCUGAGCUUACUGACCUGAUUCUGUCCUUUCUCAUCAUCCUCAAUCAGCCUGAUGCUUCUGCUGCUUUGCUCUCCUAGCACAUCCAAGCAUGUCUUUUAAAAGUGAAGUCCAAAAAUGUGAGAAAGACAGAGAGAGUGAGAUAGAGAUUACACAAGAACAAAGAAGAGGAGAAUAACUACAUUGCAGUGAAGAGCACACCCUUCAAAACCAAAAGGACUCUGAUAGGAAGAAGAAGCAAAAAGAAAAUCACAUGGUCAUUUGCAGUUUGAUUUAUGGUUUACAACACAUCAUCUAUGCCUACUUAUUUACUUCUUUAUAGAUUGAUUACAAAACCAACCCUCGGAAUAGAAGGCACAAAAUUUCCUAUCAAAGAUUCUGCUUAGCAUCAGCAUGGAUUCAUUUUUAAGUCAGAAAAGCAUCUUUUCUCACCACCUUACAAAUUGUGGCCAACCAUCAUCUUCAAAUAAUCUCUUUUUCACAUACUACCUCUUCAUACUGAGAUCACAUCACCCAAACCCCAGCAGAGACCUUCGGACAGUGCAGUGGGGAAAAAAAAAAAAAAUUUAGAUUCGGGUUCAUAUUCCACACCUUCAUUUAAUACCUGGGUGUAUUCAGAUAGGUGCCUUAUCUCCAGAUCUUCAGCAACUUCAUCAGUGAGAAGGCUUCUUGCCCUCCAGAACUGUUUGGGGGACUUGAAGAGAGAGCAAGUGCAAAAUGCCUGUGGUUGACAUUCAAGAAAGAUCCCUUGCCUUGGCUUCUGGCCUUGGGACUCAAAAAAAAAAAAAAAAAAAAAAAAAAAAAAAAAAAAAAAAGGAACCCCACAGAUUACUUCAAACCAAGAAAUUAUAUUAAUGCAUUCUUAGCCAAGAAAGACAUUAUUUUGCCCCAUAACCUCAAGUUUUCUAAAAUCCAAAUUUGCAUUGGUAGCUUGGCAAAGCCUGUGUUGAUAUCCUUGGCAGCACCUGAGAGGAUCUCAUGAGUGGAUCAAGUCUUCUUCUUGAGAAGAUGAGCAUUCAUAGGGUAGCCCUACUUAUGUAAACGCAAGCAGAAACUUCUCUAAGAUCUUAAAUAAGGUCCUUGUAUAAUCUACCUAUGAUUACCUGUAUACACACUUAUACACAUAAACACUUUUUGUGUAUAAGCCUGUGAUGAUGUGGCUCAAAAAAUAAAUACUUGUUUGAAAUCCUAUCAUUUUACUUAGACUCAAAUUUAUGAAUCUCAUUGGGAUUCCAAAUUAGACAUUAGAGUGUAAAAACACUGUUCACACAGUAAUGAAGAAAUGGUUAAGUUGGGCUCAGUUGAUAGAUCUUCUUGGACCUCAUUAUAGGAGAUGGAACUAGAAAUUGGACUUGGAAUUGGAAUUGGGGGUGAUGGAGGUGGUAAGAGACGAGCUAUGCUGGAUGUAAACAAUGCUUUUUCACUCAAUUUUAUUCUUUGGGGAAACACACAGAUAAACCUCAUUAAGUCAAUAUGGGUCUAGUAAAAAUGUCCCACAAUUCUAAAUAGCUGUGAUUCCUCAGCCAAAUAGAUACUGCCUUAUUAAAACGUCAGAUAACUCAAACUGGUACAUCAGAUAACUCAAACUGGUACAGAUAGUGAUGAUCCAUGCUUUCAUAUUGGUGAGGUUUUCCCUAUUGUCUUGAAUUGGAGUUUCAAAACACAAUAGUGAAGCAGAAUACCAAACAGUAUAGACCCUACCUGCUCAGAAUGUCCAUCAGUUUACACACGUGUGCGCACACAUAUACAGGUACAUGCACAAAGACACAUAAAAACACACUGAUACUGCUUGAGAUUGCUUCUCAAGUCAAUGAAAUAACCAAUAGGUAAAGCUCAAAAUGUCAAAAAUAAGUAGAGAAAGCCAAGCAAAUGAAUAUCUAUUCCAAUUGUACUAUUCAGGAAGCCACAGAGAAAUAAAAACUUCCAUGCCAUUUGUGAAAAUGGGAAAGAGAAAUUAAUUCUUUUACUAGAAGCCCAAAAGUUAAAAUAUGCAACUGUAAUUUAAUUCUGAAUCAAUCAUGGGACAAAUUCACUUUUAUGAUGUUUGAGAUAGAUUUCACACUGUAAAUCACACCAAAACCUAUCCUCCCAAACUGCACCAUACUCACUAACUUAUCCAGCUUGAAAUUAGAUUAAAGACUUUUUGUUACAUCAUUGAGUUUACUUGGAACAAACCUUUUGUGAACUCAGGAAGGUUAGAAAGAAACGGGAAGUACAGCAAACAAAGUAAAGCUUGG
ensembl:lncRNA